rnacentral:rRNA from 1 species
AGUCUGGUGCCAGCAGCCGCGGUAAUUCCAGCUCCAAUAAGGAAUAUUAAAGUUGUUGCAGUUAAAAAGCUCGUAGUUGAUGUUUGGAGGUUUUUUUUCCGCGGGUCGAGUCGGCUCGCCGCAAGGCUUGCUCUCGGCUCGCAAACCUCUUUCUUCCAUCGAAGUCGUCGUGGAGGUCAAACUUCGCGGCGAACGGUAGAUGGAUACUUUACUGUGAACAAAUUGGAGUGUUCAAAGCGGCCCCGUCACGGGGGAUGAACAUUUUAGCAUGGAAUAAUCAAAUACGACGACGAGUCUUGUUUGUUGGUUUGCGUCUCGACGUAAUGAUUAACAGGAACAGUUGGGGGUAUUCGUACUUGUUAGUCAGAGGUGAAAUUCUUGGAUUUAACAAAGACGAACGACUGCGAAAGCAUUUACCAUGGAUGUUUUCAUUAAUCAAGAACGAAAGUUUGGGGAUCGAAGAUGAUUAGAUACCAUCGUAGUCCAAACCUUAAACGAUGCCGACUCGGGAUUUGCGGGUGUUUAUUUUUGACCCCGCGAGCACCGUAUGAGAAAUCAAAGUUUUUAGGUUCCGGGGGGAGUAUGGUCACAAGGCUGAAACUUAAAGGAAUUGACGGAAGGGCACACCAGAGGUGGAGCCUGCGGUUUAAUUUGACCCAACACGGAAAACUCACCAGGUCCAGACAUAGCGCGGAUUGACAGCUUGAAAGUACUUUCUUGAUUCUAUGGGUGGUGGUGCAUGGCCGUUCUUAGUUGGUGGAGUGAUUUGUCUGGUUUAUUCCGAUAACGAACGAGACCCGGACACUUAACUAGACGGGGUUUUCUCACGAAAGCUUCGGACUUCUUAAGUGGACAACUUGGUUUUACCAAGGGGAAGCGCCGGUCAAUAACAGGUCUGUGAUGCCCUUAGAUGUUCUGGGCCACACGCGCCCUACAAUGAUUGUUUCAAUGGUUUUUCAAACCUUGCUCGGAAGGGCUGGGUAAUCCUCUCAAUGGCAAUCGUGAUGGGGCUAGAUUUUUGCAAUUAUUAAUCUUCAACGAGGAAUCUCUUGUACGUGCGUGUCAUCAGCGCGCGCGGAAUGCGUCCCUGCCCUUUGUACACACCGCCCGUCGCAGCUACUGAUUGGAUGGUCCGGCAAGGGCUCUGGAACGGCAAACUAUGGGGGUCACCCCUUGUUUCUGUGAAGUUGUCCAAACCUUAUCAUCU